CUGGACUGAACUCUAGGUUAUGGCAG
rnacentral:piRNA from 1 species